UUAUUGGAUACCACUUUUCAACUAUACCACAACUAAAGGGACUUUUUCAUAAAUGCCUUAUUCAUUAAUGGGUAAAUGACCUAAGUACCCCCUAACUAAAUCAGAGAAAGGGAAAGAGAUAAGGUUUUGGUUCCCCCCCGACGAAUCUCCACGACGGACGGCGAUACUCACGGCGGACGACGAUAGUCACGACGGCGAAACUCACGACGAAGAAGAGAAAAGGUAUUCUCCUUCACGAGUCACAACAUCUCUCUGGAAAAAGCAACUGGUGACGACGAAUCGCGACAAUAACAAUCCCGAUUCAAAAAUCUCAUCUCAAAAAUGUCGUCUUCUCUUCACGAUUCUCCUCUUAGCGAUUCUCUUAUUCACGAAUCUCCUCUUCAUGAUUCUCUACAAGUAAUUUCCUAAAUUUGUGUAUCUUUUUGUUUGUUUCAAGUCAUUUGUUGAAUUUUUUAUUUCUGUUAUAAGAAAAUAGAAUAAGAUUGGCUGAGGAUUAUGUCCCUAGUUAGAUCUAAGAGAAAGAGUAUCGAUAGUGAACAUUGAGUUUUGUUUUGAAACAUUAUAAGCCCUUAUAAAUUUGGGUUUCAAGUAAUUAUAAGAUGUGUGAACUCAAGAAGUGUUGUCUUGUAUUGCAGUUGGAUAGAAACGAGUUUUGCACAACAUUGAGAUUGCCUAUGAGGGAAGCUGGAGAACCACCAGAUAAUUCCAAAGCGAUAAUCCAUCACUCAAAGAUUGAUUAUGUCGAGAAGGUAGCAGAAAUAUUAGGAAAAAAAAGAGUUCUCUUUUGUAGGUUACGUCGUCUACUCCAACAUUCAAUACUCCAAACUUUGAUACAAGGGUUACAUCGCCUACUCCAACAUUUACGUCGCCUAAGUUUGAUCUCCUUUCCCAAGAAAGUCGUAGUGGAAAGGGUACAUAUGAGGUUCUUAUGAGAGAUGUUUGUGAGAUUUCUGAUUUUCAACCUCUAAUGAAAAUUAAAAAGAGAUUGGUACAACAAGACAGCCAGGUAAACGAAGAUAUUGAGCCUCCACUUCAAAAGAAGAUUAAAACUGAUACAGAUAAUGUUCCACUAAGAAGAAGUGAAAGAGGUCAAAUACCAUCCAUUCAUACACAGCCACCGUUUGCAGGAGCAAGGAAGAAACAUCCGAUUCUCCAUCCUUUUGAGCCAGUUGAUAAAACAAGAAAAGAAAAGAUGAGAGAAUGGAAAAUGUCAAACAAAAAAAGUAAGUUUUUAUUUUAUAAAAAACUAUAUAUUUCAUGAGGUGAAACUGGAUACCUACAUAAUAAGUAUGAGUGUACAAUGUAGGAAACUGAGAAUCAAUCAAGAGAUAGUAACCGCAAAGUAGUUCUCAGAUAUUGAAACACCGGGAAAAAAAGCUUUCAAAAACGGUUAGGCUAUAUUUGAACAAAAAUUCUUUAUAAUCCCUUAUAAAUUUAUAUUAAUCUUCUUUAUAAAACUAUAUGAUCGCUUUUCUGAAUAUUUGUUAUUUUGUCCCAGCAUAUUGAAGCAGGUUUGGAGUUGCUGAAACUGAAACAGAUAAACAAUCCAGAUUUGUUUCUGAACAAAACUGCCUUCGUUGUUGGAGUGAAGUUUCUUGAAGAAAUAGAUGAGCUUUAUGAUGAGUUUUUAGAUGACAAGAAAAGUUUCCAAUUUGGAACAGGUUUUGACAAGUACAACAUAGAGAAAAAUAUCAAUUUUCUCUAUUCGGCUAUUGCAGUAGAAGAAAAGUAUUGGCUUGGAGUUGUAGUCAACUUGGAGAAGAGAAGUACCACAUCAUUCAAUUGUGCAGCAUUGAAGUUCAAAGAUGCGAGUUUGGUACCUUAUGUAAAUGCAUAUGCGAUGGCUCUACCAUUCAUGAUUCGCAAUUUCUUCAAAGAUGUCAGCAUGGAUACAAGCAAGUUCUCAAUAAAAAUUGUAUCUGAAGGUUUUCC